AGUGAACGCUGGCGGUAGGCCUAACACAUGCAAGUCGAACGGCAGCACAGAGGAGCUUGCUCCUUGGGUGGCGAGUGGCGGACGGGUGAGGAAUACAUCGGAAUCUACUCUGUCGUGGGGGAUAACGUAGGGAAACUUACGCUAAUACCGCAUACGACCUACGGGAGAAAGCAGGGGACCUUCGGGCCUUGCGCGAUUGAAUGAGCCGAUGUCGGAUUAGCUAGUUGGCGGGGUAAAGGCCCACCAAGGCGGCGAUCCGUAGCUGGUCUGAGAGGAUGAUCAGCCACACUGGAACUGAGACACGGGCCAGACUCCUACGGGAGGCAGCAGUGGGGAAUAUUGGACAAUGGGCGCAAGCCUGAUCCAGCCAUACCGCGUGGGUGAAGAAGGCCUUCGGGUUGUAAAGCCCUUUUGUUGGGAAAGAAAUCCAGCUGGCUAAUACCCGGUUGGGAUGACGGUACCCAAAGAAUAAGCACCGGCUAACUUCGUGCCAGCCGCCGCCGUAA
rnacentral:rRNA from 1 species